AUAAUACUCCCUCCGUCCGGAAUUACUUGUCAUCAAAAUGGAUGUGUCUAGAACUAAAAUACAUCUAGAUACAUCCAUUUUAAUGACAAGUAUUUUCGGACGGAGAGAGUAGUAG
rnacentral:pre_miRNA from 1 species